rnacentral:rRNA from 1 species
CAGUCGAGCGAGCGGAACCAACAGAUUUACUUCGGUAAUGACGUUGGGAAAGCCAUUGGCGGAUGGGUGAGUAACACGUGGGGAACCUGCCCCUAAGUCUGGGAUACCAUUUGGAAACAGGUGCUAAUACCGGAUAAUAAAGCAGAUCGCAUGAUCAGCUUUUGAAAGGCGGCGUAAGCUGUCGCUAAGGGAUGGCCCCGCGGUGCAUUAGCUAGUUGGUAAGGUAACGGCUUACCAAGGCGACGAUGCAUAGCCGAGUUGAGAGACUGAUCGGCCACAUUGGGACUGAGACACGGCCCAAACUCCUACGGGAGGCAGCAGUAGGGAAUCUUCCACAAUGGACGCAAGUCUGAUGGAGCAACGCCGCGUGAGUGAAGAAGGUUUUCGGAUCGUAAAGCUCUGUUGUUGGUGAAGAAGGAUAGAGGUAGUAACUGGCCUUUAUUUGACGGUAAUCAACCAGAAAGUCACGGCUAACUACGUGCCAGCAGCCGCGGUAAUACGUAGGUGGCAAGCGUUGUCCGGAUUUAUUGGGCGUAAAGCGAGCGCAGGCGGAAAAAUAAGUCUAAUGUGAAAGCCCUCGGCUUAACCGAGGAACUGCAUCGGAAACUGUUUUUCUUGAGUGCAGAAGAGGAGAGUGGAACUCCAUGUGUAGCGGUGGAAUGCGUAGAUAUAUGGAAGAACACCAGUGGCGAAGGCGGCUCUCUGGUCUGCAACUGACGCUGAGGCUCGAAAGCAUGGGUAGCGAACAGGAUUAGAUACCCUGGUAGUCCAUGCCGUAAACGAUGAGUGCUAAGUGUUGGGAGGUUUCCGCCUCUCAGUGCUGC